GAUGAACGCUGGCGGCGUGCCUAAUACAUGCAAGUCGAGCGAACAGACGAGGAGCUUGCUCCUCUGACGUUAGCGGCGGACGGGUGAGUAACACGUGGAUAACCUACCUAUAAGACUGGGAUAACUUCGGGAAACCGGAGCUAAUACCGGAUAAUAUAUUGAACCGCAUGGUUCAAUAGUGAAAGACGGUUUUGCUGUCACUUAUAGAUGGAUCCGCGCCGCAUUAGCUAGUUGGUAAGGUAACGGCUUACCACGGCAACGAUGCGUAGCCGACCUGAGAGGGUGAUCGGCCACACUGGAACGGAGACACGGUCCGAACUCCUACGGGAGGCAGCAGUAGGGAAUCUUCCGCAAGGGGCGAAAGCCUGACGGAGCAACGCCGCGUGAGUGAUGAAGGUCUUCGGAUCGUAAAACUCUGUUAUUAGGGAAGAACAAAUGUGUAAGUAACUAUGCACGUCUUGACGGUACCUAAUCAGAAAGCCACGGCUAACUACGUG
rnacentral:rRNA from 1 species